UACAGAGGUCUCAAGCGUUGUUCGGAUUCAUUGGGCGUAAAGGGUGUGUAGGUGGCGCCGUAAGUCGGGUGUGAAAUUUCGGAGCUUAACUCCGAAACUGCAUUCGAUACUGCGGUGCUUGAGGGAUGCAGAGGAGACUGGAAUUCCCGGUGUAGCGGUGAAAUGUGUAGAGAUCGGGAGGAACACCGGUGGCGAAGGCGGGUCUCUGGGCAUCUCCUGACGCUGAGGCGCGAAAGCGUGGGGAGCAAACGGG
rnacentral:rRNA from 1 species